UGGGGAAUUUUGGACAAUGGGGGAAACCCUGAUCCAGCCAUCCCGCGUGUGCGAUGAAGGCCUUCGGGUUGUAAAGCACUUUUGGCAGGAAAGAAACGUCAUGGGUUAAUACCCCGUGAAACUGACGGUACCUGCAGAAUAAGCACCGGCUAACUACGUGCCAGCAGCCGCGGUAAUACGUAGGGUGCAAGCGUUAAUCGGAAUUACUGGGCGUAAAGCGUGCGCAGGCGGUUCGGAAAGAAAGAUGUGAAAUCCCAGAGCUCAACUUUGGAGCUGCAUUUUUGACUACCGGGCUAGAGUGUGUCAGAGGGAGGUGGAAUUCCGCGUGUAGCAGUGAAAUGCGUAGAUAUGCGGAGGAACACCGAUGGCGAAGGCAGCCGCCUGGGAUAACACUGACGCUCAUGCACGAAAGCGUGGGGAGCAAACAGG
rnacentral:rRNA from 1 species